GUCCACGCCCUAAACGAUGACAACUAGGUGUUGGGGAAGCGAUUUCUCAGUACCGCAGCUAACGCGUGAAGUUGUCCGCCUGGGGAGUACGGUCGCAAGAUUAAAACUCAAAGGAAUUGACGGGGACCCGCACAAGCGGUGGAUGAUGUGGAUUAAUUCGAUGCAACGCGAAUAACCUUACCUACCCUUGACAUGUACGGAAGCUCAUCGAGAGGUGAGUGUGCCCGAAAGGGAGCCGUAACACAGGUGCUGCAUGGCUGUCGU
rnacentral:rRNA from 1 species